GAGUUUGACUCCGUGGCUCAGGACACGCUGGCGGCGUGCUUAACACAUGCAAGUCGAACGCUGAAGCCCUUCGGGGUGGAUGAGUGGCGAACGGGUGAGUAACACGUGGGUAAUCUGCCCUGCACUCUGGGAUAAGCCUUGGAAACGGGGUCUAAUACCGGAUAGGACACGUGGCCGCAUGGUCUGCGUGUGGAAAGUUCCGGCGGUGCAGGUUGAGCCCGCGGCCUAUCAGCUUGUUGGUGGGGUGAUGGCCUACCAAGGCGACGACGGGUAGCCGGCCUGAGAGGGUGACCGGCCACACUGGGACUGAGACACGGCCCAGACUCCUACGGGAGGCAGCAGUGGGGAAUCUUGCGCAAUGGGCGAAAGCCUGACGCAGCAACGCCGCGUGGGGGAUGACGGCCUUCGGGUUGUAAACCUCUUUCGACAUCGACGAAGCCUUCGGGUGACGGUAGGUGUAGAAGAAGCACCGGCUAACUACGCG
rnacentral:rRNA from 1 species